rnacentral:tRNA from 1 species
GAGGGUAUAGCUCAGUGGUAGAGUGCAUACUUAGCAUGCACAAGGUCCUGGGUUCAAACCCCAGGACCUCCA